GGAUCAAUGGAUCAGUCAUGCCGUUGGUAUGUACUGGUCACAUUGGUUCUCACCUUCUAAGGAACCAUGAUGUCAUUCAUUUGAUGUUGUGGGGAAUUAGGACUGUUACCUUGAAAAAUUAGAGUGUUUAAAGCAGGCUAACGCUUGAAUACAUUAGCAUGGAAUAAUGAAAUAGGACAUCGCAUUCUAUUUUGUUGGUUUCUAGGAUCGAUGUAAUG
rnacentral:rRNA from 1 species